AACCAUAGAAACCUGCGGAGUACCUGCGGAGGGAUCAUUACAGAGUUGCAAAACUCCCUAAACCAUUGUGAACGUUACCUAAACCGUUGCUUCGGCGGGCGGCCCGGGUCCUUCCCGGCGCCCCUCGGCCCUCGCGGGCGCCCGCCGGAGGUAAACCAAACUAUUGCAUUGUAUGGCCUCUCUGAGUCUUCUGUACUGAACAAGUCAAAACUUUCAGCAACGGAUCUCAGAUCGGAAGAG
rnacentral:misc_RNA from 1 species